CCGAUGGCGACCGGCGCACGGGUGAGUAACACGUAUCCAACCUGCCGAUAACUCGGGGAUAGCCUUUCGAAAGAAAGAUUAAUAUCCGAUAGGAUAUCAAGAUCGCAUGAUCUUGAUAUUAAGAAUUUCGGUUAUCGAUGGGGAUGCGUUCCAUUAGUUAGUUGGCGGGGUAACGGCCCACCAAGACGACGAUGGAUAGGGGUUCUGAGAGGAAGGUCCCCCACAUUGGAACUGAGACACGGUCCAAACUCCUACGGGAGGCAGCAG
rnacentral:rRNA from 1 species